GAUGAACGCUGGCGGCGUGCCUAAUACAUGCCAGUCGAACGAAACUUCUUUAUCACCGAGUGCUUGCACUAACCGAUAAAGAGUUGAGUGGCGAACGGGUGAGUAACACGUGGGCAACCUGCCCAAAAGAGGGGGAUAACACUUGGAAACAGGUGCUAAUACCGCAUAACCAUAGUUACCGCAUGGUAACUAUGUAAAAGGUGGCUAUACUACCGCUUUUGGAUGGGCCCGCGGCGCAUUAGCUAGUUGGUAGGGUAAAGGCUUACCAAGGCAAUGAUGCGUAGCCGAAUUGAGAGGUUGAUCGGCCACAUUGGGACUGAGACACGGCCCAAACUCCUACGGGAGGCAGCAGUAGGGAAUCUUCCACAAUGGGCGAAAGCCUGAUGGAGCAACGCCGCGUGGGUGAAGAAGGUCUUCGGAUCGUAAAACCCUGUUGUUAGAGAAGAAAGUGCGUGAGAGUAACUGUUCACGUUUCGACGGUAUCUAACCAGAAAGCCACGGCUAACUACGUG
rnacentral:rRNA from 1 species